UUUUCUGGUUGGAGAUCUCUUUUUUGUGGAGUUUCCCUGUGAGUGUAGAUCUUCAGAGACAGAGUCCCCUCAAGAGAAAAAAAAGGCAUAUAAAAAGGAAGCUGAAAUUCCUCAAGGAUAACGGCAAGGCAGCGGUCACCUGAUGCAAAACCGCUUUGGAGGGGCUGGCACCUGCAGGGCCCCUAUGCCUGCAGUGUCACCUCCCGGUCACCAAGCAUGAGCAGGAGGGGGAAAUGGAGCUGUAAAAAUCCCCAGCUCGUGUGCAGAGAGCUGUGAGGGGCUGCCGGAAAGCUGCAUUAGCCCAGUUCUACAUGCUAGCAGGGAGGCAUCCCUACCAUGAGAAUAUUACAAAAAUAAAUCACAGGAAUGCUUUUCUACCAGGGUUCAGGAGUCCAAAAGGAAGAAAAAUCACUUAGAUUAGUUUGAAGCCCUUUGGAAAUGCAGUCGUCACUCAGCCUAGCACGUGAUAAAGGAAUGCCCGGGAAUUAUUUUUGGCCAUUGAAAUGUAAAACUAAUGUGUCCAAUGCAUCCUCUCUGGAAAGCUUGCUUGGUCUAAAUAUCGAUUGGUUUUACUACCAGCCAAGGUCAGAAACUGAAGAGGUUCUUGCUGCAGCUGCAGGAAGCUGUAUAUUAAUCUCAAUAUCAACUAAAGUACCUAAACUGUUAUUGGAAUUUGUUGAUCAAUGACAGCUUUGAAAAGUACUUAGUAUGACAUUUGUUGAGCUUCCAUAUUUUGUGUUAUACCGUCACACCUGAUUGUUCAAUAACUCGGAAAACACCAACAAAGGACCUCUUCAGCUCUUUGUGCAGACAAUAUCUGUUUUAUAAUUCCCGUCUCUUGCUAUAAUCUGCAUUAAUGGGCAUUCCACACCAUUAAAAGGUUUUCUUGCUGCCUUGCUUACAUUAAUCCAUUAGAGAAUGUUCCUCUGUUGCUCAUGGUAAUGUGCCUUGUGUCUGCCUAAACUUCUUCCAGAAGAAUAUUUCUUAAUUCCUGACCCUGCAACCUUUAUGUUUGGAAAUGCCAUCAUUAAAUUCAAACACACC
rnacentral:lncRNA from 1 species